rnacentral:rRNA from 1 species
AGCAGCCGCGGUAAUUCCAGCUCCAAUAGCGUAUAUUAAAGUUGUUGCAGUUAAAAAGCUCGUAGUUGAAUUUCGGAAUCAGUACGUUGGUCGUGCCUUCGGUAUGCACUGGCGUCACUGGUUUCUCCUUUCUGAAGAACCGUGAUGUCAUUAAUUUGGUGUUGCGGGGAAUCAGGACUGUUACUUUGAAAAAAUUAGAGUAGUUUAAAGCAGGCUCACGCUUAGAAUACAUUAGCAUGGAAUAAUGAAAUAGGACGUUUGAUUCUAUUUUAUUGGUUUCUAGGAUCGACGUAAUGAUUAAUAGGGAUAGUUGGGGGCAUUAGUAUUCAAUUGUCUAGAGGUGAAAUUCUUGGAUUUACUGAAGACUAACUACCGCGAAAAGCAUUUGCCAAGGAUGUUUUCAUUAAUCAAGAACGAAAGUUAGGGGAUCGAAGACGAUCAAGAUACCGUCGUAGUCUUAACCAUAAACUAUGCCGACUAGGGAUCGGAUGAUGUUAAUUUUAUAUGACUCAUUCGCGUACCG